UCAAAUCGAGUAGUUCGAGUUUUGAUUAUGAAUCAAAUUGAAUUUUACAGUUUGAAUAAUUCUAAUAUACGAUUUGUGUAAAUACAAAGCUUGUAAAUAUCGAAUUAAAUGAUUAUUAACUUUACAUCUCAAAAAAUUAUAAAAAACUAAAAAAUAUAUAAUAAACUUAAAAAAUAUAAAAAACUAAAAACCUUAAACCCUAAAAACCAC
rnacentral:lncRNA from 1 species